rnacentral:rRNA from 1 species
UCCGUAGGGAAGCUGGGGAAUGGUCACCUGCGUAACCGUUAGCGUAUUUGCAGCAUCGAUGAAGAACGCAGCAUCCGUAGGUGAACCUGCGGAAGGAUCAUUA